rnacentral:misc_RNA from 1 species
GUUGCAAUGUCAAGGUUGUAAGCACGUGUCUCAGCAUCCGAUUAAGAGAUACAAGCAUUUUGAGAUUGGUGGAGACAAGAAGGGGAAGGGAACUUCUCUUUUCUAAAUGCUAUUUUAUGGGUAUGCUUUUGGUUGUGUUUCACUGUUAAGACCUUUGAACUAGGCAAAUCAAGAAUUUUUGGUCACUUUAUUUUGUGGGUUUCUUUUGUUGUCAUUUCUAGACAUCUACUAUUGGUUUAUGAUAGUUAUUUACAAUUAAUUGCCAAUUAACUUUUAGGUAGAAUUAGUGAGCUAUUUCAAUUGAGUUAUGAAUGAUUCAAAUUUACUUGAAUUGCACAAAUGAUUUGCAAUAUUACAUGUUUAAGUAUUUCUUGUGACUUAAAACAUGCUUGAAGUAAGCUUUUGUAUCCUGCAACAGCUUAGGUAUACAUCUUUCUAGUUGCUAGCUCUAUUCUUUUAAAGAGAAGUUAAAAAGAACUGACUGAGAGAGACGGACCCCAUUUUAGCAUUUGUCAUAAAGAUAAAGAUGUAAUUGAAACUAAAGAAACCUCACUUACAAUGCAGAAGCAGUUUCACAUUAAAAGAAGGCUUAAUAAUUAAAGAAAGAAUAUUUACACUUGUUUUUGUCUAUGAACUUCAAAGAUAGUUAUGAUUUUAGUUACAGGUCAUAUUUCAGUGAU